UGCAUGAUGCCGACCCCCGACAAUGGGACCAGUAUAAAUAUGGUCGCGAGGUAAGAAUUGUCAUCAGUUUAUUGUAUACAGAACAAUCAACUACAUUCAAAAUGAUGAAAUUCUUGAUUCUUGCUUUUGUCGCCUUGAUGGUCCUCGUUGCUUCAGCCGUUGCUGAACCAGAACCACAACCAUCUGGAGUUCUUGGAGGAACUGUUUUGGCUGGACCAGCCGUUGUUGGAGGACUUGGUUUGGGUUUGGGUCACGGAGCUAUCCUUGGUUAAGAAAUUUGCUAUGAGAAUCUUGUAAAUGUGUAGUUUGUAGAAGAAUAAACUUUAGAAAAAUUGUAAA